UCCACAAUAUUUGAACAGAUAUUUAUUCGGAAGUGUGAAAGACCUUACCAUGAAAACCAUCACCAUUUUUCUGUGCAUUGGUCUCCUGUUGGCUUUUUCUGCAGCUUUAGAGGCAGAAGUUCAGGAUGGAAAACGGGUGUUACCCCGAGGAGAGAUGAAAUACGUGUAUCCGUCGUUUUAUGCUAGGGACAAGGACAGUGAUGACCCCACUGUUGAUGGUAGGAUAGUUCGUUCCCCAGGAUUUAAAUUCAAUGGAUUGGAUACAUUAAAAUAUUAAAUG